CCUACGGGUGGCAGCAGUGGGGAAUAUUGGGCAAUGGACGCAAGUCUGACCCAGCAACGCCGCGUGAAGGAAGAAGGCUUUCGGGUUGUAAACUUCUUUUAAGGGGGAAGAGCAGAAGACGGUACCCCUUGAAUAAGCCACGGCUAACUACGUGCCAGCAGCCGCGGUAAUACGGAGGAUGCGAGCGUUAUCCGGAUUUAUUGGGUUUAAAGGGUGCGUAGGCGGGCAUUUAAGCCGGCGGUCAAAUGUCGGGGCUCAACCCCGGCCGGCCGUCGGAACUGGGUGCCUUGAGUGGGCGAGAAGUAUGCGGAAUGCGUGGUGUAGCGGUGAAAUGCAUAGAUAUCACGCAGAACCCCGAUUGCGAAGGCAGCAUACCGGCGCCCGACUGACGCUGAGGCACGAAAGUGCGGGUAUCGAACAGGAUUAGAUACCCCUGUAGUC
rnacentral:rRNA from 1 species